rnacentral:rRNA from 1 species
CAGUAGCCGCGGGAAUACGGAGGGAGCUAGCGUUGUUCGGAAUUACUGGGCGUAAAGCGCGCGUAGGCGGUUACUCAAGUCAGAGGUGAAAGCCCGGGGCUCAACCCCGGAACUGCCUUUGAAACUAGGUGACUAAAAUCUUGGAGAGGUCAGUGGAAUUCCGAGUGUAGAGGUGAAAUUCGUAGAUAUUCGGAAGAACACCAGUGGCGAAGGCGACUGACUGGACAAGUAUUGACGCUGAGGUGCGAAAGCGUGGGGAGCAAACAGGAUUAGAUACCCCGGUAGUCCCUGUCUCUUAUAC